UAGAGUAUAGCUAAAAUUAUAGCCUUUCCCUUACACUGAAAAAUUACCCGUUAAACCCGGGUUACUCUAA
rnacentral:tRNA from 1 species